ACAGAGGUCCCAAGCGUUGUUCGGAUUCACUGGGCGUAAAGGGUGCGUAGGCGGUCAUGCAAGUUUGAUGUGAAAUCUCCAAGCUUAACUUGGAAAUGGCAUUGGAUACUGCUUGGCUAGAGGAUUGGAGGGGAGACUGGAAUGCUCGGUGUAGCAGUGAAAUGCGUAGAUAUCGAGCGGAACACCAGUGGCGAAGGCGAGUCUCUGGACAGUUCCUGACGCUGAGGCACGAAAGCCAGGGGAGCAAACGGGA
rnacentral:rRNA from 1 species